rnacentral:rRNA from 1 species
GACGAACGCUGGCGGCGUGCCUAAUACAUGCAAGUUGAGCGAUGAAGAUUGGUGCUUGCACCAAUUUGAAGAGCAGCGAACGGGUGAGUAACGCGUGGGGAAUCUGCCUUUGAGCGGGGGACAACAUUUGGAAACGAAUGCUAAUACCGCAUAAUAACUUUAAACAUAAGUUUUAAGUUUGAAAGAUGAAAUUGCAUCACUCAAAGAUGAUCCCGCGAUGUAUUAGCUAGUUGGUGAGGUAAAGGCUCACCAAGGCGAUGAUACAUAGCCGACCUGAGAGGGUGAUCGGCCACAUUGGGACUGAGACACGGCCCAAACUCCUACGGGAGGCAGCAGUAGGGAAUCUUCGGCAAUGGACGAAAGUCUGACCGAGCAACGCCGCGUGAGUGAAGAAGGUUUUCGGAUCGUAAAACUCUGUUGGUAGAGAAGAACGUUGGUGAGAGUGGAAAGCUCAUCAAGUGACGGUAACUACCCAGAAAGGGACGGCUAACUACGUG